UACGAUCUGAGUUUUCAGAGUUUCUAUCAUCAAUGUUCAAUUGACCAUCUAUCUCCGCUUUAAAUAACCUUCUUAGAGAUGCAUACGCUACAAUUGAAAUCUAUAAAAUUGUUUCAGUGUUAGUAUCUCUUUACGGUUGUCGACGUCGUUCCACCUAAAACCAGUUUCAAAUUACCCAAAUUGUUUUUCAUCCUCAUCUAAAAUUGAUGGAAGAGAACAUAAGAGGCCAUCUGAUCGACACCGUUCAUUCGAAAAAGAAAAGCUGAUUCCAUCUCUCAUCGUUUAAUAACGAUGUAGCAGUGUAAGAAAUUCGAUUCUAUUUCUGUUAAGUUUACAGUUUGAUUAAUCCCAAAGGAAGAACUCAUCAUCAGUACAAACAAUAUUUUUGGUGUUUGUGAAAUAAGACAGAGACGGAUUGGGAUUGUUUGAGAAGAGGAUAUUUCAGUUUGCUAAACCCUGGAAACGGAUAGCCUCUACCUAGCUACAGACAGAUUCCACCAACACGUUUCUUUGAUAUCGUCUUUGAGAUGGCAUUUACCUUCCAUAGUAGAAGGGAGACGAAGCUUGGAACUAUGCCCUCUUAGGUAUUCAAAUGCUUCUCUCAUGUCAUUGAGUGAGGUAAGAUUAUAGAUUUGACUCUUAUUUUAUAUCAUAGUCUGCAUGCAGCCCUAUAACUUCUUACUAACGUUUUUUUUUAAUUUUCCAAACCAAUGGUUAAUGCUAAGAUAGAUGAAGAGAGAGCGAGACAUGGUUAAUCAACUUAUAAUUUUUUGGUAGAUGUUUCAAGCCAUUUAAUAACACAUUGCAAAGUUGACUCUAGCAUAAUGAAGAUAAUUAUAGUGUAAAAUUCUUUGUAUGAGUGGUACAAAUAUUUGACUUGAUCAUCCCUAAUAACUCUUUCUUCCAGGUUUUAAGUCAAUAACACCAUCACACUAAAAAAAAGCAUGUGAUGCUACGAUUAACAAUGUAUCUGUUCAAAUUACAUGCGUUUAGAAGAAUCAAUUCAGUUGGUUUUGAAGAGUUUAUACAUGGGGACACAAAAAAAAUGGUCAAAUCUUUUAUUUCGAUUAGGAAAAACGACAAGCCAGUGAUCAAGGUUCCUAGAAUACUGAUGAGGAUGAUGGAUGAUUAUAUGAAAGUAUGGUUGUUUAGAGAGUUUGUCUGUAGAUAGAAACAAUGCAAGUUCUGGAAAUUGAAACUACGUAUAGUAUAGGCUCAAGAACUUCGACCUUCACUCCAGCAUGGUGGGAUUGUGCUGCCUCAACAUUUUGGUUCGGUAGAUAAUCCAAAUAAACCUUAAAUUGUUUUACAUUAGCUAGGUUUGUGCAGGUUGUAUUUGUUUUCCAAAACUUUUCACAUACUUUGGCUGAUAAAUUUUUAGUGCAGAAGGCAUCAAUAAACAACACAAAGUCAUCGUUUGCUUU